GAUGAACGCUGGCGGCGUGCCUAAUACAUGCAAGUCGAGCGAACAGACGAGGAGCUUGCUCCUCUGACGUUAGCGGCGGACGGGUGAGUAACACGUGGAUAACCUACCUAUAAGACUGGGAUAACUUCGGGAAACCGGAGCUAAUACCGGAUAAUAUAUUGAACCGCAUGGUUCAAUAGUGAAAGACGGUUUUGCUGUCACUUAUAGAUGGAUCCGCGCCGCAUUAGCUAGUUGGUAAGGUAACGGCUUACCAAGGCAACGAGGCGUAGCCGACCUGAGAGGGUGAUCGGCCACACUGGAACUGAGACACGGUCCAGACUCCUACGGGAGGCAGCAGUAGGGAAUCUUCCGCAAGGGGCGAAAGCUUGACGGAGCAACGCCGCGUGAGGGAUGAAGGUCUUCGGAUCGUAAAACGCUGUUAUUAGGGAAGAACAAAUGUGUAAGUAACUAUGCACGUCUUGACGGUACCUAAUCAGAAAGCCACGGCUAACUACGUG
rnacentral:rRNA from 1 species